UGCAACAUCCUUUUCUCCCCUUUGGCUUCAAGGGGACUGGGCUGCUGGGCCAGAGCUGACUGCUUCACCUUUCAGGACCUUCUGCUGUGCUCCCACAUUAAAAGGUUCAGACCUAGUAAUGAAGACACAGUUUCUGCAGUGAGGAACUGGAUGUUGACUUUCUAGAACUUCCUGAUGGAGGAAAUAGUAACACCUGAGAAUAAUGAGUGCCAAAGAAAAAAAGCUCUGCGUACUACAGCUGAGGCUUCUCCAAAGACUUUCUCAGCAGCUUCUGUCAUCGGUUUUCCUGCAGCCGGAAGACCAGCAUACCAGAUUUCACAACCAGUACCUCAGCAAGGCUCUUCUCCGAUUGUUCAGAGGCUUUCAUAUAGAAUGGCUUUUAAAGUUUGAUUGCUAUUCCUCCGACGUAAGUCAUACUAACACCCACCUGUGCAUCUGCACGAUGAACAAGGUUAUUGGACAGAAUGCUGUUUUGCAAAUUUUCAUAAUUCCCAACUCUGUGAUUGAAGAAAGUUGCUGUGGGAAUUUUCAUCUGAUGAAAGGUCAGUUGGGAAA